rnacentral:rRNA from 1 species
GUCAAAACGACUCUCGGCAACGGAUAUCUCGGCUCUCGCAUCGAUGAAGAACGUAGCGAAAUGCGAUACUUGGUGUGAAUUGCAGAAUCCCGUGAACCAUCGAGUCUUUGAACGCAAGUUGCGCCCGAAGCCAUCCGGCCGAGGGCACGUCUGCCUGGGCGUCACGCAUCGCGUCGC